CAUGACAAACAGCAUGGAUUAGCAAAUAACACUGAAUGUGACUAUUAAUUAGACUUAAAAUUAUUACAUAUUGGGCUGUAAAUUCUUGCCAACAUUUGAAACAUUUAUACAACUGAGCAGUUACGGGCUUAAGGGCUUUGCAGGGCAGCAUGACCUUCUGACCAGAAGUCCAAUAUCUUAACCAACUGAGCUACCACUUCAGUCAAUGGAACUGAGGACUGACUACUCAUACCUGACACCCUGAGUGAUCAUAAUCUGCCUCAUGCAGUAGCAACACAUAUCUCAUGUUUUAUACUCUGCUGCUCAUGCCUGCUUCAGCACCAUCCUGCCCUGCUGUUAACAUCACCUGCUGUAUUGCUGCCGUGAACGCUGCAGGUGCAUGUUGAACAAAGCGAUUAGCUUGGAGUUAAUGCAUCACUUAGCCACACGUGACCAGCCCAUCAUGAACAUCCGUCAGCCCAUGCUGCUAUACCACCUGAUCACUGCCAGAAGCCAGCAAAGUAAUUCACCAGAUCUCGAGCCAUCCCAUCAACACCAGCUGUGGAAAUUCAAUCGUUGUGCUUCUGAGGCCUGAAUCAAAGAGUUCAUCCCAGAGCAGUUCAAUAAGAUUUAGGUCAGGAGACUGGGCAGGCCAUUCCAUGAUAGAUGACACUCCAGAUGACUGCAUGCUCUAUAAAUAACACUUUUUGAACAUGGAGUAUUGCAACUAUGGCAUGAUAAAUGGAUACCAUUCAACAAUCAUUCAAAGGGCAGGAAUUGGUGUUCCAACUGUAGCACAGGUCUGACCCAUGGAUUCUCAAAAUCGUGCUGAACAGAGGAAGAAGCAAAAACACUAAAAACUAUGCUAACACCUUUCUUGUGUACAUUUGACCCCUAUUGUUACCCAUGUCCACUUGUUAUAAUGAAUAAAAUAACUGAAUAAAUUUUCAGAUGCCGCUUUA